rnacentral:rRNA from 2 species
GGUAGCACAGAGGAGCUUGCUCCUCGGGUGACGAGUGGCGGACGGGUGAGUAGUGUCUGGGGAUCUGCCCGAUAGAGGGGGAUAACCACUGGAAACGGUGGCUAAUACCGCAUAACGUCGCAAGACCAAAGAGGGGGACCUUCGGGCCUCUCACUAUCGGAUGAACCCAGAUGGGAUUAGCUAGUAGGCGGGGUAACGGCCCACCUAGGCGACGAUCCCUAGCUGGUCUGAGAGGAUGACCAGCCACACUGGAACUGAGACACGGUCCACACUCCUACGGGAGGCAGCAGUGGGGAAUAUUGCACAGUGGGCGCAAGCCUGAUGCAGCCAUGCCGCGUGUAUGAAGAAGGCCUUCGGGUUGUAAAGUACUUUCAGCGGGGAGGAAGGCGAUGUGGUUAAUAACCGCGUCGAUUGACGUUACCCGCAGAAGAAGCACCGGCUAACUCCGUGCCAGCAGCCGCGGUAAUACAGAGGGUGCAAGCGUUAAUCGGAAUUACUGGGCGUAAAGCGCACGCAGGCGGUCUGUUAAGUCAGAUGUGAAAUCCCCGGGCUUAACCUGGGAACUGCAUUUGAAACUGGCAGGCUUGAGUCUCGUAGAGGGGGGUAGAAUUCCAGGUGUAGCGGUGAAAUGCGUAGAGAUCUGGAGGAAUACCGGUGGCGAAGGCGGCCCCCUGGACGAAGACUGACGCUCAGGUGCGAAAGCGUGGGGAGCAAACAGGAUUAGAUACCCUGGUAGUCCACGCCGUAAACGAUGUCGACUUGGAGGUUGUUCCCUUGAGGAGUGGCUUCCGGAGCUAACGCGUUAAGUCGACCGCCUGGGGAGUACGGCCGCAAGGUUAAAACUCAAAUGAAUUGACGGGGGCCCGCACAAGCGGUGGAGCAUGUGGUUUAAUUCGAUGCAACGCGAAGAACCUUACCUACUCUUGACAUCCACGGAAUUCGGCAGAGAUGCCUUAGUGCCUUCGGGAACCGUGAGACAGGUGCUGCAUGGCUGUCGUCAGCUCGUGUUGUGAAAUGUUGGGUUAAGUCCCGCAACGAGCGCAACCCUUAUCCUUUGUUGCCAGCGAUUCGGUCGGGAACUCAAAGGAGACUGCCGGUGAUAAACCGGAGGAAGGUGGGGAUGACGUCAAGUCAUCAUGGCCCUUACGAGUAGGGCUACACACGUGCUACAAUGGCGCAUACAAAGAGAAGCGACCUCGCGAGAGCAAGCGGACCUCAUAAAGUGCGUCGUAGUCCGGAUCGGAGUCUGCAACUCGACUCCGUGAAGUCGGAAUCGCUAGUAAUCGUGGAUCAGAAUGCCACGGUGAAUACGUUCCCGGGCCUUGUACACACCGCCCGUCACACCAUGGGAGUGGGUUGCAAAAGAAGUAGGUAGCUUAACCUUCGGGAG